rnacentral:rRNA from 1 species
UACGAAGGGGGCAAGCGUUGUUCGGAAUGACUGGGCGUAAAGGGCGCGUAGGCGGUGCGUUGCGUCAGAUGUGAAAUCCCCGGGCUCAACCUGGGAAUGGCAUUUGAUACGGGCGUACUGGAAUCCGUGAGAGGUUGGUGGAAUUCCCAGUGUAGAGGUGAAAUUCGUAGAUAUUGGGAAGAACACCAGUGGCGAAGGCGGCCAACUGGCACGGUAUUGACGCUGAGGCGCGAAAGCGUGGGGAGCAAACAGGAUUAGAUACCCUGGUAGUCCACGCCGUAAACGAUGUGUGCUAGCCGUCGGGCAGCUUGCUGUUCGGUGGCGCAGCUAACGCGAUAAGCACACCGCCUGGGGAGUACGGUCGCAAGAUUAAA